AGAAUCAACGCUGGCGGCGUGCCUAACACAUGCAAGUCGAUCGAGAAAGUGGAGCAAUCCAUGAGUAAAGAGGCGCACGGGUGAGUAACACGUGACUAACCUACCCUCGAGUGGGGAAUAACCUGGGGAAACCCGGGCUAAUACCGCAUAAUACCCACGGGUCAAAGGAGCAAUUCGCUUGAGGAGGGGGUCGCGGCAGAUUAGUUAGUUGGCGGGGUAAUGGCCCACCAAGGCGAUGAUCGGUA
rnacentral:rRNA from 1 species